GAUGAACGCUGGCGGCGUGCUUAACACAUGCAAGUCGAGCGAGUGAGUUCUUCGGAACGAUCUAGCGGCGGACGGGUGAGUAACACGUGGGCAACCUGCCUCAUAGAGGGGAAUAGCCUCCCGAAAGGGAGAUUAAUACCGCAUAAAAUUAUCGAGUGGCAUCACAUGAUAAUCAAAGGAGUAAUCCGCUAUGAGAUGGACCCGCGUCUGAUUAGCUAGUUGGUGAGGUAAUGGCUCACCAAGGCGACGAUCAGUAGCCGACCUGAGAGGGUGAUCGGCCACACUGGAACUGAGACACGGUCCAGACUCCUACGGGAGGCAGCAGUGGGGAAUAUUGCACAAUGGGCGAAAGCCUGAUGCAGCAACGCCGCGUGAGCGAUGAAGGUCUUCGGAUCGUAAAGCUCUGUCCUCAAGGAAGAUAAUGACGGUACUUGAGGAGGAAGCCCCGGCUAACUACGUGCCAGCCGCCGCCGUAA
rnacentral:rRNA from 1 species